CAAAUUCCCCUCUUGGGCUGUUGAAGCUGACAGCUCCUUCCUGAGACACCUGUAAGAUCUCAGCAGUAGGAUAAGUUGUGGCCUAGAAUAUGAAAUUUCUGGGUCUUCUCCUGUGCCUGGUGACAGGUCCUCAUGGUAUCCUGUCCCAGGUGCAGCUGCAGGAGUCCGGUACUGGCCUGGUGAAGCUUUCGCAGACCCUGUCCCUCACCUGCAUAGUCUCUGGAUUCUCUAUCACAACUAGUAGUUAUGAGUGGCACUGGAUCCGUCAGCCUCCAGGAAAGAGCCUCGAGUGGAUGGGAGCCAUAGGUAGCAGUGGUGGCACUGGGUACAACCCGUCCCUCAAGAGCCGCAUCUCCAUCUCCAGAGACACAGGCAAGAACCAGUUCUCUCUGCAGCUGAACUCUGUCACCGCAGAGGACACAGCCACUUAUUAUUGUGCAAGACACAGUUGUUUGAUGCAAGUGUGA